GGUUGUGGCUGAGAGGUAAAAGUGCUCACCUAGCAUGUGCAAGGUUCUGGGUUCGAUCCUUAGCACCA
rnacentral:tRNA from 1 species